rnacentral:tRNA from 1 species
GCACGGAUGGCCGAGUGGUCUAAGGCACCAGACUCAAGCGUUCUGGUACUCGUAUGGGUGCGUAGGUUCGAAUCUCACUUCGUGCA